GGACGAACGCUGGCGGCAUGCUUAACACAUGCAAGUGGAGCGACGAACCUUUUAGGGGCAAAGCCGCGAACGGGUGAGUAACACGUGGGCAAUCUGCCCAGUUGACUGGAAUAACUCUCCGAAAGGAGAGCUAAUACUGGAUGUGCCGUACCUACACAAGUAGGUCCGGUAAAGGUAGCUUCGGCUAUCCGCAAUUGGAGGAGCCUGCGGCGCAUUAGCUAGUUGGUGGGGUAAAGGCCUACCAAGGCGACGAUGCGUAGCUGGUCUGAGAGGACGAUCAGCCACACUGGAACUGAGACACGGUCCAGACUCCUACGGGAGGCAGCAGUGGGGAAUCUUGCACAAUGGGCGACAGCCUGAUGCAGCAAUGCCGCGUGAGGGAAGACGGCCUUCGGGUUGUAAACCUCUUUCAGUUGGGAUGAAGGUUGGCCGGUGAACAGCCGUGUCGACUGACCGUACCUUCAGAAGAAGCUCCGGCUAACUACGUG
rnacentral:rRNA from 1 species